rnacentral:misc_RNA from 1 species
UCCGAGUUGACCCCGGCAGUCUCCCAUGAGUCCCCGGCACUACCCGCUGGCAACAUAGAACGAGGGUUGCGCUCGUUGCGGGACUUAACCCAACAUCUCACGACACGAGCUGACGACAACCAUGCACCACCUGUAAACCGGCCGCAAGCGGGGCACCCGUUUCCGGGCGUUUCCAGUCCAUGUCAAGCCUUGGUAAGGUUCUUCGCGUUGCAUCGAAUUAAUCCGCAUGCUCCGCCGCUUGUGCGGGCCCCCGUCAAUUCCUUUGAGUUUCAGUCUUGCGACCGUACUCCCCAGGCGGCGAACUUAACGCGUUAGCUUCGACACUGAUCUCCGAGUUGAGACCAACGUCCAGUUCGCAUCGUUUAGGGCGUGGACUAC